rnacentral:lncRNA from 1 species
GGAGAAGCAACCGGUUUGUGAUACCCUAGUCAUGGAAAUUGGCUGGAAAGCCAGGAAAUCCAACCACAGAGCCAUUCCUUAAGCCUGGAGGACUUUUUUCCUCUCUCUACUUGCUUUUGCUGCCAACUGCUGCAUCUCAUAUCUGGGAAAGAACAGGUGCAGAGGCCAUUUUGGGAUUGCAGUGCAUUGUCAGCAGCUUGCAGGGGUCCUGCGAGGAGUUACACGUUGCUGAUGGAGGUUUCUUCCUCCUGUUUGCUGGGACAAUCAUGCUGGUGUUUGUGGCCCUCUCAAAAGG